GUAGUAGCAGGCGUACUGCCUAGGGGACGGCUGCUCCACUUUUGCACCCUGCUCUAGGAGAAGAAGGUGGAUGUGGAGUAGGAGGUUGAGGGGGCGGUGACCGUGGCAGCGAAGACGCAUUCGGAUGUCUGCCCUAUUAACUUUUGAUGUUACUAUCAGCGCCUACCAUGGUGACCAUGGGUAACGGGGAAUCAGGGUUUGAUUCCAGAGAGGGAACCUGAGAAACGGCUACCACAUCUAAGGAAGGCAGCAGGCACGCAAAUUACCCACUCCCGCGGGGAGGUAGUGAC